rnacentral:rRNA from 1 species
GCAUAUCAAUAGCGGAGGAAAAGAAACCAACAGGGAUUGCCCCAGUAACGGCGAGUGAAGCGGCAAGAGCUCAAAUUUGAAAUCUGGCCCCGUCGGGGUCCGAGUUGUAAUUUGCAGAGGAUGCUUCGGGUGCGGCCCCCGUCUAAGUGCCCUGGAACGGGCCGCCGGAGAGGGUGAGAGUCCCGUCUGGGACGGGUGGCCGCGUCCGUGUGAAGCUCCUUCGACGAGUCGAGUUGUUUGGGAAUGCAGCUCUAAAUGGGUGGUAAAUUUCAUCUAAAGCUAAAUAUUGGCCGGAGACCGAUAGCGCACAAGUAGAGUGAUCGAAAGAUGAAAAGCACUUUGAAAAGAGAGUUAAAUAGCACGUGAAAUUGUUGAAAGGGAAGCGCUUGCGACCAGACUCGCCCGCGGGGGUUCAGCCGGCACUCGUGCCGGUGCACUCCCCCGCGGGCGGGCCAGCGUCGGUUUGGGCGGUCGGUCAAAGGCCCCCGGAAUGUGUCGCCCCUCGGGGCGUCUUAUAGCCGGGGGUGCAAUGCGGCCAGCCCGGACCGAGGACCGCGCUUCGGCAUGGACGCUGGCGUAAUGGUCGUAAGCGACCCGUCUUGAAACACGGACCAAGGAGUCUAACAUCUACGCGAGUGUUCGGGUGUUAAACCCGUCCGCGCAGUGAAAGCGAACGGAGGUGGGAACCCCUCGCGGGUGCACCAUCGACCGAUCCUGAUGUCUUCGGAUGGAUUUGAGUAAGAGCGUAGCUGUUGGGACCCGAAAGAUGGUGAACUAUGCCUGAAUAGGGCGAAGCCAGAGGAAACUCUGGUGGAGGCUCGCAGCGGUUCUGACGUGCAAAUCGAUCGUCAAAUUUGGGUAUAGGGGGCGAAAGACUAAUCGAACCAUCUAGUAGCUGGGUUCCUGCCGAA